UACGUAGGGGGCUAGCGUUGUUCGGAGUUACUGGGCGUAAAGGGUGUGUAGGCGGUUUUCUAAGUUUGGUGUGAAAUCCCCCGGCUUAACCGGGAGGGUGCGCCGAAAACUGGGAGACUAGAGUGCGGGAUGGGAGAGUAGAAUUCCUGGUGUAGCGGUGAAAUGCGUAGAUAUCAGGAGGAACACCGAUGGCGAAGGCAGGUCUCUGGGCCACUACUGACGCUGAGAAGCGAAAGCAUGGGGAGCGAACAGG
rnacentral:rRNA from 1 species